AGAGGCAGAGCUCUGGGGCGUCUCCACCAUGGCCUGGACCCCGCUCCUGCUCCCCCUCCUCACUCUCUGCACAGGUUCUGUGGCCUCUUCUGAGCUGACUCAGCCACCUGCAGUGUCUGUGCCUUUGGGACAGACAGCCAGAAUAAGCUGCCAGGGAGACAGCUUAGGAAGCUAUUAUGCUAGCUGGUACCAGCAGAAGACAGGCCAGGCUCCUGUGCUGGUCAUCUAUGGUAAUAACAAACGGGCCUCAGGGAUCCCUGACCGAUUCUCCAGCUCCGUGUCAGGCAACACAGCCACCCUGACCAUCAGCAGAGCCCAGGCUGAGGAUGAGGCCAACUAUUACUGUCAGUCAUUUGACAGUAGUGCUAAUGCUCACAGUGAUACAGGCUGAUGGGGAAGUGAGACACAAACCCCUUCCCCAUCUAUGUCACAGUCUCCUCCAGCCCCAGGGGCACUGAAGACAAAGCCCUGAGCAUGUCUGGCCCAGGUUCCCAGAUCUGAGAUCCCCAGGCUGCAGUCUCCUCCCAGCCCUCCAGGCAGGCUCUGUGGAAGGUGGAUCAGGACUGGAUUUACAGCUGGUAGGACCAGGUUGUUCUGCUUUUUUCUGGAAAAGAGUGUGAAUUGGUGACAGAUGGCCUAGUUGGAUAGAU